UACCAGCACCCCGAGUUGUCGGGACGAUUAUUGGGCCUAAAGCAUCCGUAGCCUGUUCUGCAAGUCCUCCGUUAAAUCCACCUGCUUAACAGAUGGCUGCGGAGGAUACUAUGGAGCUAGGAGGCGGGAGAGGCAAACGGUACUCAGUGGGUAGGGGUAAAAUCCAUUGAUCUACUGAAGACCACCAGUGGCGAAGGCGGUUUGCCAGAACGCGCUCGACGGUGAGGAUGAAAGCCUGGGGGAGCAAACCGG
rnacentral:rRNA from 1 species